AGCCGGCGUCCCGGGCUGCCUCGGUCUCCAUGGCAACGCGCGGCGCGCUGGGCUCCGGGGCCAGUGCACGAGCUGGGCCGCGCACCCCGGGACGACUCCGGGCCGGCCCUAAAAGAAAGGAUUUUCCUUAAGUCCGGGCGUUUGAAUCACGGGCGGUCAGCCCCCAGCUGGUCACCGAGAGGCCCGAUGCCGCCCUCGGAACCAGGCCCUGAGGUGGUCACAGCCUCCCCAGGCCACCCAGUCGUCCCUCCUUCCUGUGCAGUCAUGAAGUUAUUGGGAAACAACCUGCCGGCUCACCAGUUUUUUAAAAACCUGCACGCUGCACUCGCAGUACGUAGCCUACAGGGAUAUAGAAGGAAAGCAACUGGUUACGAAAAAGCGUUUCAGUCAGUAAAUGCUUAGCCCCGCCACCGUGGAGGAAGCGCGAAGCAGCUCGGUGGCCGCGCCUGGGCAGCCACCCAUCGUGACAGAAAACCCCAAGUGCGGUCAAGCCUUGAUUUACGUGCAGUUGCAUUCCUAGAAAAAUCCAGUGUUAGAAUCCUGGGAAAAGUGCUUUGGGUUCGUUUGGUGCUGUAGUUCGAUUCCAGCCGCAGGUCAUUGUAAGCGGGUUUCCCCACGCACGAACCUCCGUGCACGGGCCACCAUGGACAAAUACGAUGUGAUUAAGGCCAUCGGGGAAGGUGCCUUUGGGAAAGCAUACUUGGCUAAAGGGAAAUCAGACAGCAAACCAUGUGUCAUAAAGGAGAUCUAUUUUGGAAAGAUGCCCAUCCAAGAAAAGGAAGCUUCCAAGAAAGAAGUCAUUCUUCUGGCCAAGAUGAAGCAUCCCAGCAUCGUAACCUUCUUCGAUUCAUUUCAAGAAAAAGGUCGGCUGUUUAUUGUCAUGCAAUACUGUGAUGGAGGGGAUAUCAUGAGAAGGAUCAGCAGACAGCGGGGAGUGUUACUUAGUGAAGAUCAGGAGCGUGGCAGCCGCGGCGUCUGACCUGAGUCCUCUGCGCGGAGCAAGUGGCGGCGGCGCGGGCCUGGCGCCCGGCAGCGGGCGGACAGGUAGGUGGCGGCUGCCGGGCCCCAUACGGCCUGGGGCUGGGGAAGGGGGCCAUGAGCCCUCCCGGGAACUUCACCUGGGUCCUGCGCGGGCGGGUGGGGCGCGGGCUCCCCGCUCCGCCUCCGAGACACUUCCUGACCCCUGUGGCUUCCCGCGGGCCCCUGUCCUCGGCUCUGCGCCCAUGCUGGGCGACCCGCCUGGUGCCCCGGGUGUCUCGGGCUGGGUUAGAGACAGGGCCCCCGACAGCUGGGGCACCCCCCCAGAGCAGCCCGUCGGGUGCUGGGGGCUGUGCCCUGGUCUCCCCCGGGGGCUGCGCCCUGACUGCAAGGUGGCUGCACGGCGGCCGCUUGGGCGGGAGGGCGGCUGGGUAAAGCGGAGCCCCCAGCCAUGGCCAGGCCCCCGGACGAGAUGUCACCCCUAGCCCUGCCCCGCCCAUGCCUGGCCUGCCUGCCACGGCGAAGCGUGGAAACACCGUCGCAGAAGCUGGUCAGCAUGCAGGCCCCACAUCUCAGCUCCUUGCUAACGCGCCUCAGUGCUCGGGCCCCGCCCUACUGUGGGAGACCAGGCUGGAGCUUCUGGAGUUGCCCUGUGCCUGCCAGGCCACUGCAGGUACCUGGGGUGAGCCAGCAGGUGAUCUGGGCAGAGAAAGAGAGAGGUCGUCUGCACGCGGCUUCACUCCCCAGGGGACUGUAACCCCCAGGGCUGGGCUGCGCUGAAGCCAGGAACUCCAUGGGGGCUCCCAGGUGGGCGCGGGCCCUGGCACUUGGGCGGUCUUCCACUGCGUUCCAGGCCAUCAGCCGGGACUCCAUGUGGGCUGUGGCUUAACCCUGUCCCCAAGUAAAUCUUCCUUUUAAAAAUGCAGUGCCCUCCCACGCCCCCCCCCCCAGAGGCUGGGCUCCCUGCACCUUGCCCACCCCCUGUCCCCAGCUGCUCUGUGCCUACCUGAGCCCGCUGGCCAGGCUAGGUCCAGCGGCCCCGGCCGUCCACUCAGCACCACCGUGAGCUCCUGCUGCUGGCCCCGUCCCUACCCCGUCCCAGGUGUCCAGGCCGGUGAUGCCCUGGUCUCUGGCAGCCUUGCUACAACGCCAGCAACCCUCAUGGCAACCAGUUCAGGUCCCCGCUGCUCUACUUCCGAUCCUGCUCCCUGCUGGUGGGCUUGGGAAGGUGGUGGCGGACGGCCCAAGCAUGUGGCCCUGCCAUCCAUGGGGGAGACCCGGAUCGAGUUGUCCAGGCUCCUGGUGUCAGCUGCUGGGGAGUGAACAGCGUUUAGAAGAUCUUUCUCUGUCACCCCUCAUCCUCUCCUUGUAGCUCUGCCUUUAAGGAAAUAAAAAUUAGAGUUCAGUAAUGCUGUGGCACAGCGGGUAAAGCCCUGCCUGCAGUGCCGGCAGCCCAUGUGGGCGCCAGUUCCAGUCCUGGCUGCUCCACUUCUGAUCCAGCUCUCUGCUAUGGCCUGGGAAGGCUGUGGAAGAUGGCCCAAGUCCUUGGACCCCUGGACCCAUGUGGGAGACCCGGAGGAAGCUCCUGGGUCUUGGCUUCAGAUUGGCCCAGCUCUGGCCGUUGCAGUCAAUUGAGGAGCAAACCAGCAAAUGGAAGACCUCUUUCUCCCUCUCCCUUUCCCUUUCCCUGCUCCCCCGCCCCUGCCUCUCCUUUCUCUGUGUAACUCUGACUUUCAAACAAAUAAAUCUUAAAAAAAAAAUUCUUGGUAAAUUCAGACCAAAACAUGUUUGCAAUUGAACUUGAACUCUACCUUUUCUGAGCAAUGAGAUCUUCUUGAGAAAAGAUAGUCUUUUUGGACAGUCUUACUUAGGAUGCCGCUGAGAUAAAUCUUCCUGGCUUAAAAAGCAUCUGACUGUGGAUGCUCCUUAGCUAUUUGAAAUGUGACAUAUUUAUAGCUUCACUCUUUCCUUUUAUCAUUUGGCAUUCUGUUUUAAAAUAGCUAUCCUACUCUGCUAGGGAAGACGGAAGAUCUUAGCAAUGUCUAUUUAGUAUAUCUUGAUAAAGACAGAAUUUUCUUGGUUUUUUUUUAGUUUUUAAAUUUUUUAAAAUAUACAAAUUUCAUGUAUUUCAUAUAUAUAGAUUCAGGAAUAGAGUGCUACUUCCCACCCUACGCUCCCUCCCACCCAUGCUCCCAUACUGCUUUCUCCACCCUCUCCUAUUCCCACUCUUGAUUUUUACGAAGAUCUAUUUUCAGCUUAAUUUAUACUCACAAGAUUAACUCUCCACUAAGUAAAGAAUUCAACAAGUAGUAUGAAGAAAAAAACUGAAGAAAAAAUUAAAUGGGGUGGUGUGGGGAGCAACUCGGACUAGACUAAGUUACUGCCAUUAAGACUUAUUCUAUGCAUCUGCUCUCCCACAAUAUGGCGCUGGGAGAGGAGUAAACAACUUCUACACAGCUGCCUCUCGCCUAUUUGACUGAGCUGCAGGAGCUGAUCUUGCUCCUGAUUGGAGGAGAGCAGCGUACUCGGCGUGUGGGUAGCAGAGUUGGGAUUGGUGGAAGAGGACUAUAAAGGAGGAGAGAGACAACAUGCACCAGGAACAUCUAAAAGGAACAUCCGGAUAACAUCUGAGCAGCCCCCGAGAGAGCCGGCCGGCAGUGUGCCGCUCCCCCGCGGAAGUGGGGAAAGUGGCAGGGGGAACCGCCCCUCCACAGAGGUGGAGGGGUUGCCAGCCAACCCAGGAAGGGCCAAGCAGCAGAAAGAACAGCGCAGGGUCCUGUGUCGUUCCUCUGUGAAUGGGGGAGCGACAGGGUGGUGCAUACCAUGUUUUGGAAAUGAUCACUAUAAAAGACAAUUGGAAUAUUGAAUGAGUACAAGGAUUCUUCACUAAAUAUAGUAAUUCAAAUUUGAAACAUAUUUGAACCAGUAAUUCAAAUUACAUGAUUCCUUUUUUCAAUAAUUAAGGAAUAUAUCUUUUUCUUUUGUCUGUGUUUUUCAAAUUCUCAAAUGGGUAUGUGUAUUUUAUAACUCAAGUGUGUUUUCUUCACUUAUAAUCAAAUGAAUUAUCAAUAUAUUUUUGGUGAAUUUAUCUGAUCAUCCAUUAUUAAUAAAACUUGCUUUUGUUAUUUGACUAGAUGAUAUCAUUUAAAGUCUGAUAUGAUUUUGAUAUGCUUUAUCCCCAUCAAGACUCAUGCAGAAAUUCGAUUCCCAAUGUAGUGGCAAUGGGAAGUGGGGACCUUGAAUUUUGACUAGGUUGUUAAGGCUGAACCACCAAGAAUGGAUUGAUAGAGUCAUUAGAUUUCUCACUCUUAACAGAACUAAAUUAGUUACUGCACUGCAAAUUGCUAUGAAGGAAGCCUGGUGCCUUCCCUCACUCUCUUGAAUAUUUGCUCCUCCUGCACACAUCUAUUUGUUCUUCUAAUUUCUACCAGGAUUUAAAGCAGCAUUUGACCCUCACCAGAUGUGGCUGCCUAAUUUUAGAUUUUCAUAUCUUCAGUACCCUAAACCAAAAUAAAAAUCUUCUCUUUAUAAAUUACCCAGUCUCAUACAUUCUAUUGCAACAUCAUAAAAUGGAUUAAGAUGCUCUUACACAGAUGUAUGCCCAUUACUUAUCAAAAAUUAAUACAAUAUCUUUACCUUUCAGUUCUCUUUGGUUUUCAUAAAAUUAACUCUUACCAGUCAAAUGCAUAUCUGUGUUAGAAAUAUGGAGCUAAUUAAAAUUAUAGAGACAAUGAAAUGCCAAGCUGACCCUGUCAUUAUUAUUUGUCAUACCAGAAACAAAAUGAAUAGAAUGAUUUAUAAUAUGUGAUUUGAUAAACCAUACAUGCUUGCAUAUAUAAAUAUCUCUUAUGAAAAUAUAUGAAAUAUGAUUUGAGUUGUAGAAUCAUUAAAGCUAAAGACAGAUACAAACACCAUUGCAUUUUCUAUAUUGCCCUACUUUCUAAUAAAUUGAAAAUGUUUUCUUUUUAAAAACCACAAUUAACCAUGUGCCUUUUUUUCCCAAGAUAAUGCAGAAAACCUGUAUUGUGUUUAUCAUUGCCAAUUUCUCUAAUAAA